GGGGCUGUAGCUCAGUGGCAGAGUGCUUGCCUUGCAUGUAUGAGGCGCUGGGUUCAAUCCUCAGCACCA
rnacentral:tRNA from 1 species